CGCUCGCCAGCGUUGCACCACC
rnacentral:miRNA from 2 species